GGCUACCUACGGGGGGCAGCAGUAGGGAAUUUUCGUCAAUGGGCGCAAGCCUGAACGAGCAAUGCCGCGUGAGUGAGGAAGGUCUUCGGAUCGUAAAGCUCUGUUGCGGGGGAAAAAAGGCAGCAUCAGGAAAUGGGUGCUGACUGAUGGUGCCCGCCAGAAAGUCACGGCUAACUACGUGCCAGCAGCCGCGGUAAUACGUAGGUGGCGAGCGUUAUCCGGAAUGAUUGGGCGUAAAGGGUGCGCAGGCGGUCCUGCAAGUCUGGAGUAAAACGCAUGAGCUCAACUCAUGCAUGGCUUUGGAA
rnacentral:rRNA from 1 species